AAAGAUAUUCUCUUUGUAAAAAAUUUUGCACAGAUCGACAAUACACCUAAAAUAUUACUCUUACGCGUCUAAUUCGGCCCACAGAGGGUUAAUUCGUGUUAUUAUCUGUCUCAUACGCUGAAAAGUUGGAAAGCAUGUCUCGUUGCGUCCAAGCAACAAUCGCUAGCGAUGGAGAUUAGACACGUGUUUGUGAUAGUAUUUUAGGAGUUAGUUAUUCCGUCGAUCCGUGUGAAAUUUUUGUACAAGAAGAGUAUUUCUUUUAAACGAGCCAAGAAUCCACGUUCUUAUUAAACACACUGUAUAUACAUAAUUUGUUCUUGUUCGCGAGUUCCGAGCUGCGUAAGAUCACUAGCGAAUUCCUCUGGAAGGAGGAGCGACAGGAUGACGAGGAAGAAGGUGAAUAUUGCGCGCAGAUGUGCGAGCGACCUUAUCGCGAGUCUUGAUUGGUUUCAGAAUGGAACGAAGCAUGCAGUUUGAACGAGCGCGUGCACGGGCGCCUUCGAUAGCUUUGGUGGUUUUUUCUUGGUGUUCUUGGCGCGAGCAGCGAACGGGAGGCGCUAUAAAGUUGCGUACACCGCGAAGGAGCAGGUGAUGGUGAAAGGGUAGGCCGUGUCGCCGGUAACGAUCGCGCGACUCACUUUCGCGUGCGUGUGCGUCAGGUGUGGAGUCGCAACGCAUCGUGAAAUUCAUCUCGGUUCGUAUCAGGAAGGAAACUCACGUUUUCUUUUUUGCCCGAUCGGGUGAAUCAUGGUCAGACGCAUCGUGCAAAAUGAAAAGCAUCUGUGGCCGCUACUGAAUGACAAGACGCUGUUCAAUGAUACUAGUUAAUUAUUAUAACAUAUACCUAUGGAAGUAUAUACAGGCAUACUUGAACUUGGCUGUUUUCAGACUGAAUGACAGGAGGUUUUUCAAUAAUGAUAAUUGUUAUAAUAUAUACUUAUACAAGUAUCCAGAGCGCGGCCGAAAAUUAUACGCAAAUUGAACGACAAGAGGCUGUCCAAUGAUGGUAGUUUGUUUACCUAUGCAAAUAUACAGAGCCGAAAAUUAUAUAUACAAGCAGGCGUAAAUACGAAGUAAAAUUUCACUGGAAAUUAACCUUGGAGAAAAUUCUUUGGACACACUUGAACUGCUACUUCUAAACCGAAUGACAAGUGGCUGGCCCACGUGUGAAAAUCAGUAGGAAGCAGAAAAACGAAGCGUCGCGUGACGGUGGCGUGUGCCCGCGGGGGCGUUGGAUUUCUGGUUUCGUGGAAUCGCGUGCUAGCUUGACCACCUCUCUCUCUUUCAAGAGAGAAAGAGAGAGAGAGAGAAAGAGAAAGAGAAAGAGACGAUGGCUUCACCGUGGUUGUUCGCAGCGGAGGACGUCAACUCUCGGCGCGGCUACAGCCUACCUACGAGAAGACUGGAAGAAGAGGAUGCAACCGACCGUUUUACCACGGUCGUUGGAGCGCCGCCGGGCAAACCCGGAGAUGGCAGAGAGUGUGAGAUGCCGUGCGGUGUGUGCCGGUCCAGUCUGAUUGGGUUCGGUUCGGCUCGGCUCGGGGUUCGGUUUGCCUCAGUACCGUUCGCAACGUCGAUGCGCACCUUAAACGUGGGCGGAUCGGCCGGUCAGCCGCCCCGGGUGUUUCUCACCCGCAUGCCUGGCAUACGUGCCGCUCAUCCUCGCCCCUUUUCUUUUUCCUCGUCCCAUCACCACUUCUUGCCGUGCCGCGCCGUACCUUUCUCUCUCUCCUCUUCUCUCCUUAUCGCGUCUCGUCUCGUCUCGUCUCGUCGCGUCGCGUCGCGUCGUCUGGGCUACCGGUUCUUUUUCCAUCGCCUCCUCUCUCGUUUCGCGAUCGCGAUCGGUCUUUGCCUCCGAAUUUGGUUCUCACCAGUUCGGUAGAUAAGCGCUUGCUUCUUCUUCACCUUUCGCCAUUCGUCCGCUGCUCCUCUGUCAUGUCUUCGCGAUUUCACGAGAGAUGUAACAAACGGAGGCGGCGAAAGAGAGAUGAAAGCCAGAGCGAAAAUCGCUGUUGAGAGAAGAUGGAGAGAGGGAACGCGCGCAAGAGAGAGAGAGAGAGAGAGAGAGAGAGAAAAGGUUGCGUUGAACGUUGGUUCUCGCAUUGCCCCGAGGACGUUCCCAUGAAUCGGCGGGGGCGGCAGGAAGGCAGUUCGCCGCGAUGAGAAUCGUUUCUCCGGUACUCGAGGGCAUCGGCGUUCCUCGGCGAGGAGAUCGGUGCGUGCCUGCCCGACUGCGUGCCUGACUGCGUGCAACCGUUCUCUUUCCAGCAACGCGUCAUUACCAGAAGAAGAAGCCUUAAUAAUCGGCUAGUCUCCUCUUGCGUUCCAAAGUUCAACUCAACAGCGAAAUCGCUCGAUGUCGAUUAUAUCUCGGAAAUUUACACCGUCGAUUACUCGAGAUACGUGGCGGGUACAUCUCCCGCGACUCUUCGAUCCUCGAUCGAAGAAACAAAAAUUGCCCAAACGUCGUCGUAAUGGUCGUACUUUGUCAAUUUUUUUCUUCGAAUCGUUCCGAUGAUAUAUUACCUUCGCCGACCGUGGCAUUGUAUUUUUCCGUGGACCGACGUGACGCCACGCGUCGUUGAGCUUGAGAGUCGCGCGAAAAGCCUAUCCGACGCGUAGCGAAUACCGCGAUCAGGAACGCAUACGAAGCUCAAGUUGGUCGAUCGAUCGGCCGCGUCGAUAAACAGCAAGCAGGCGAACUUACGCGAGCGUCGUCGCAUUCGCGUCGAAUUGACGCUCGAUGGUAAAUGCGGAAAGCUCGAUGGUAACGGCUACGUUGUCCUCGUGGACGAUACACCCGGUUGCUGGAGACUAUAGUCCGAGACGGCAUACUUCGAGCGCUAAUCGAACACUGGAGGCACGACCGUGCGGAUUAUCGCGUGCUUGUCUGUUGACAAAAGUUUAGCUUAUAAAGCUGAUUAAACCUUAGUUAAUCACAACGGAAUAGGAAAGUAUUCGACGAAGGAAGCUGCCAGAUUGGUCGACGACCAAUCGAUCCGCCUGUUCGCCUGAUCAACGAUCCGUUGAGCGGGCGGUCCCGCGCGGCAAACUUCACCGCGUGCUUCACCUCCGCUGCUCUUCUGCACUCCUUUUCUCUCUGACAUAGCGAUUGAAUUUGGUAGCGCAGUCCGCGGAUGCCUCGCAUUCUAUCGCGUUCGUCUUCUUCUGUGUGCACGUGUGCAUGUGUGUAUGUGUAGGUGUGUGUGUGCGUGUGUGUUUACUGUGCAUCUUGAGCGACUUAUUUACAUCGGUAUCGGCCUCGUUUAACGCUUUACGCGACUGUUUCAGAGGCGUGCGUCGAUUAACAAAUCGUUACUUUGCUACCUCUCUUCUGCCUCUUUACGUCAAACGAACGUUGGACGAACGUUCUGUGAUUCCGUUCGGAGUGUUAGAAAUGGUUCGCUGGUCUGGAAAAGUCUGAUAAUUUCCAAUUUGCGUUUUCAUUCAAAAAUGUUUAACACUUAACAAUAGAACUAACCUCUUGCGCUGGA